AUGGAGUCCAUGACAAGUGCUGCUCUAAGUAUUGGGUCAACUACGGCAAUGGGAGUUGAAGAUGAUGCCAACAGCUUUGCCAUGGGCACGAUCCAGCAGGUCGAAAACGAUGAAAAUAGCUACCACACGCCAACACGAACUAGCAGUCUUCCAUUUUGUGGGUCAAGAUAUGAGCCCGAGUGUGACCCUAACUUACAGCCCGUAAUUGGUAUGCAAUUUGACACUUGGGAGGAAGGUAUGCCAUUCUACAAAAUGUAUGCUCAUGAAGUCGGGUUCUCAGUUCGCACAUGGACGACACACAAAGAUGAACAUGGCGUAGUAUGGAAGAGGUUUGUUUGUGCUAGGGAGGGUUGGAGAAAGGUGGCCCCAGAAGAGGAAAGGAUAAAGCCUAAACGAAAAUUCAAAUUAACCAGGUGUGGUUGUGAGGCUAUGAUUGGAUUGAAGAGGCAGGAUGAUGGCAAAUAUAAGGUUGCCCGGUUUGUUCAAUCACACACUCACCAACUUAUUUCGCCAAGUAAAAGACAUCCCAUCAAGUCAAAUAGAGAAGUAAGUAGUGAGUUGCGGAGCAAACUACUUACAUGUCAUAAGGCAAUGGUUGGCACAUCUGCAGCAUAUCGCUUGCUUAGUGUUGAGAAGGGGGGGUCCCGAAAAUGUGGGCUGCACAAAGCGUGA
rnacentral:rRNA from 1 species